CCGCGACACCAUCUUGGAAAGGGCGACAAACGGGAGUGGGAAGACGCCACCUUGGAAAGGUCACUGGCUGCCCCGCUCGCUAAAACAGGGCCGCCAUCUUGGGAAGGUCCGGUCUCUGGCGCCCGCCUCCCCCGGAGGUAGAACAGCACCGCCAUUUUGGGAGGGUCGGUUAGGCUCGAAAUGCCCUGUCAGGGGCGGGAGCCUGUGAAACACCUCAGCCCAGGCCUGGGUGCGAGAGCUCGCGACGUGCCCCGCCAGGAGGGGAGGCGCGCGGUGGGGGGUGCUGGGCCUAGCAGCCAGUGGGCUGGGCUUUACUCCUCCACCCCCACGCCCUCAGGCACCACCCUCACCCCAGUGGCAGGGCCUGAGUGGACGUGCGGCCUGGCGCCUGCCCCGAGGAGCUCCCAGUCUGAGGCCGCGAGAUGGACAGACCGAGUGCUGUGAUACAGGUUCGUCUGUGCUCACCUGCUGGGAUUGGCUACAUUUGUGUGGAGUUUCAAACCAUUUCUGGCUUGCAACGUGGUUGGAGUUUCCUGCUGGGCCUCCCUCCUCCUCCUUCUACCUAUUCAUGAGAUGGGUCACCAUCUUGGACUUCUCCAAGAACUGUUUAUGGUGACCGCAUUUUCAACACAUGGGUAGAAACAGAAGUGAUCUUUGCAGCUAUAGAUGCUUCUUAAUGUUAGUUCAAGAUAAAGAUGCUCACAGAGGCUGCUGCUGUAUAAAAAGAGACAGAUGUACUGAAGAGCUGCUUGAUAGAUGCUGGAGAGAAAUAUGCCGGUUUCUAAACUGGUGGGGACACUAUUUUAUUUUCUAUCUCUAUAUAAUGUUUUAUUUGUUCCAGCAGUUGUUUAGAAAAAUCCAAAUGGGUCUCUUUCAGUUCUUCAAUACCCAAAGGAAUAUUUGGCUAUGAGAACAGGAUAUGAUUAUGAUGUGUUAAAGGAGUUCUGAUUUCCUUUCAGAAAAAUCAAAGUAGUUUGGAUCCACAAGAGCAAAAUCAGCAUCUCCAGACAUAUUGUCAAUAUGGAUUUGAGAUAUUAACAAUAGGGUGAUUCUUCAAUAACUAAAACAACGAGGAGUCUGGUGGUACCUUAAAGACUAACAGAUUUAUUUGGGCAUAAGCUUUCAUGGGUAAAAAACCCCACUUCUUCAGAUGCAUAAAUCUGUUAGUCUUUAAGGUGCCACCGGACUCCUCGUUGAUUUUGUGGGUACAGACUAACACUGCUACCUCUCUGAUACUUCAAUAACUAAGUAACUUUUGGAGACCUGGGUUGAAAUCCUAUUUAUUUAGAAGUACUGUAACUAUAACAUUGAGUCUGAUCCAGGUUGUUGUUAGACCUUUCUCUAUCUAUCAAGACAAUCAUACAAAAAUUUUGGUACAGUUGUUAUGCUGUGUAGAAGAGGUACAAGAUUGCCUGGCUGGGUCUGCUGCAACUUCCAAUUUUAAUGCAAAGCUCUGUAGGGAUCAAGGCCUGAAAUAGCUGGGGAGUUGAAGGGAAGAUGAGGGUGCAUUAGGUAAAACAGCAUUCUGAAUAUGUAACUUUUCUUCUAAUAUCUUUAAAAUGUCUAAAUUGAUUUUUUUACAUGUUCUGUUAUUAGUCCAGACUUUCUCUCUUAAUUGACGUUGCAAUGUGGUAUUAUGUGCAUUAUGUUGGAUGUCUUUGGGACUGUAUCAUUAGCUUCCAAAAAGCAUUGCCUUAGAACUUGUCUUGAUAUAGUUAAUUUCCAUUCUUGGGGGGGAAAAGUGUUGAUAUAAUUUUAAUUAUUUUAUUUGUUCCUAGACAUUUUGUGCUUCCUUUUGUGACAUAGGAAUUUAAUUUACUGGUUCAUUUUGAGACCUGCUGGAAAGUUAAGUCUGUUUAUUUUGGUUGGUUAGUUGUAGAUCAACCGAGAGGAUUGGCAAUACAAAUGAAAAACAAUAGCCUGUAGGCAUGCCGUGUGUAUGUGCUUAUCUAAAUACUACUGGAAGCAGGGGUGUCUGUCUGUCAUUUAGGAGGUUCCAGUCUACUCAUGGCAAAAUCAAAUGUUAUGGAGAAGACUAGUAUUGCCUCACUUAAUUUUAUUUAUUUAUUUUUCCAGUUUUAUAAUUGUGCCCAUUAGAUAUGCUAUGUACACGGAUUUAAAUAUGCCACUCCUUUUAUGCUUAAUGGCAGCAUAAAAGGAUAAAAGCUGAAAAUAUCGUUUGCAGGGACUCUUGCCUAGUAGCAGUUUUUUAAAAUUAUAUUUGAAAGUAUUUUUGAUUUUUUUCUUCAAAUGCUGUACUUAUUUUAGGACUGUAUAAGUAUGUGGUAUAUUUACAAAUAUUAAUGUACAAAGUAUGGCAGUAAACAACAAUUCCUCUAGACCUGUUAUGGACUAUAUGCUGAGAGUUUUUCCUUUUUCAAUAUAAUACCAUCAAAAAGGGAAUUAAAAUAGAAAAGAACACAUUCUGAAACAUUGUAGGUCUGACUUAAACCCUGAAAACCAAGUACAUUCAGAGGUGAGGAGACGCAUCAUCUUUAAAAAUGAUGCAAGGCAAACUUCUGUAGUGCUUUUAAUGCUAGGAUCAAAAUAUUUGCAAACUUCGAGUAACCUCUCAGUACCCAUGUGGGAUGUGUAAGGGUAUCUUUGGAUUUCGGCUUCCAUAUUUGGUGCGGAAGGCGGCAGCUGUUUAACAACAGACAGCAACUCUACAUAAAGAACCUACAGCAAAGCAUUUUUCUGCUUGCUUCCAUUUAUUAGGUGUUUAGAAUGUCAUGAAUUUCUGAGGAAACAGAACUUUGAAUUUGGGUCUUGGCAGGUAAGCCAGGGAGGAAUUUAUUUGAAUAUGCUUUGUUUUGUUUAUUAAUAUUUAAAUAUUUGUAAUGGCUGAGUCUAUAUAUACACAAUAUGUUCCUUUAUCUAUUUAGGAUCUUAAAUAGUCUUUUGUUUGAUACAUUUUCAGGUGUACACCUUUAAUUUGCUUCAUUCUGCCUAGACAGUGCAGAAAACUGAGAACAGUGAGUGGUCUUCCAGAACAUGUGGUUAUAAUCAAGUAGAUAGUACACAUACCCUACCUGCUAAUUUUAAAGAACUUUUAUAAAUUGUGUUAGCGCUCAAGGCCCUGAUUCAGCAAUGCACUUAAAUCAUGUACUUAACUUUUAAGUAGCCUCACUGAGGGCAGUGCCACUACUUACAUGCUUCAAGCACAUGCAUAAUGGCUUUGUUGAAUCAGGGCCCAAGUGCUUAUAAUGCAUUAACAUAUUUGGUCUUUAAGGUGGUUUCCAAAGAACAAUAAUGUCAUAAUUCCCAUAACAAGAUUUAUUAUUUUGCAGUAUUCUUAUCCUCUUCAUCUGUUGUUUGUUUAGAAGGAUUUCUGCGGUGCUCAUCAUUGAAGCAUGUGAGUGCUUUUGUGAUGAUGGAUAAUAAAUUUAUACAAAAUCUGAAUGUAUCCCAAAGAUGCCAACAACUAAAACAGGAUUUCUGGGUCCUGCAUAAAAUAAAAACAAAUUGGUACAACUAAACAAAGAAUUGGUGUGAUCCCUGUAUUUCAUUUAUAUUCUCUUAUCAAUAAGAUAUUUGUCAAUCAAGAAGCAUCCAUCCCAUGUUCUGAGAGCUCUUAUGCUAUUUUACAUAUUUACUAAUUAUUGCUCACAAAUAAUAAAGCUGCUCAUCCUGUAUGUACACCAAAUUCUAUAUAUUCCUGCCUUAAGUGCAUGGAAGGAAAAAAUGAACUCUGGAGUGUUUCAAGAUCCAGGCUCUGGUGGAUCAGCAGAUGGGAAGUAAAUUCCAGAGUGGAAGAUCUUUCAUGGAGAACAU